UCCUAUAUUUCAAAAUCAAUUACCUAAAUUACCCUCGAAAUUAAGCACUAUUGUAAAACUUCUAAUAAUACGUACACCAACAAAGGGCGUAUUAUGUAUUUUUUCCUUUGAAAGCAUAUAAUCAUGUUACAACAGAACUUUCGUGAAACUACAUUUAUUUGUCAUUAAGGAUACAGAGGCUCUAUUAGUUUAAAUUAUGUAAAAGGUCGUAAUAAUUAGCACUUUGUGUAUGCUCCAUUAAUGCAUGUGUUCAGUUUUAUCAUGUUAUGUUAUAUGUAUGUAUGUACAUUUUGUAGGCGCACAAAAUCCAACAACCAUUUUCUUCCACCUUCUUGUCAACAUACAGGGAAUUGGGACAUUUCGUUUUGUUGGAUCCAACGUCAUUAGAGUUGUUACGACUUGUACCAUGAUGACUUUGGCGAUGUCUAAACAAUGCGAGAUAACAAGCGAAAGAACCAAAAGUUGGUUAAAAGGAACCUUUGUUUCUGUAUCCCUCUUCCCAUUCAUGUCUCCAAAAUGGAAAUGCGAUUUUUUAUCCCGUCGCCCGGAUUGUCACUUCGCUCCCAACGAUUCCAGACAACUAAUGGAUCACGUCAGUCAGAAGAAUCUUGGAACUUUGUAUAACUCUGUCGAAUGCUAAGAUCAUUUUAUUGUAGCAAAUUUGAAAACAAAAAAUAUAUAAAAGAGACAUUUUUUGAUUGA